rnacentral:lncRNA from 1 species
AGGUCCCCUCGGGCUGUGGCCGCAGCGGCAGCGGCAGCGGCAGCGUCUGGCUUGCAGAGUCUCGGCCGGCCGAGGGAAGGGACCCUGAAAGGCCCCCAGUGCCCUCUGGCACCCGCGUCAGAUGCCGGCCAGCGAGGGUGCGGAGAGAGAGAGACCUUGAGCAGCGCCAACCGCGUCCUCCGCUCUGCGAGCCCCCUCUGGAGCAGCGGGAAGUACCCUCGGAGCCUCCAUCCCUGGACGUGGAUCCAGGAGAGUCUGGACCUCUGGGGCCCUUGGCAGAGAGCCUGCAUCCUGAGCACGUCUGGACCAGAGGGGGUGAGGUCUGGCCCCACAUCCAUCAACCCAUCAACAGAACCUGGGAGCAUCCUACCCAGGCCCCAGCCGCAGUGUCUUACAAGGAAGGUGACAGCUCGGAAAGCAUCCAGAGAGCAAUGGCCAAGAGGGCAAAGUGUCUGAAAAUGACUGAAAAUGAAGAGUGGUUACAAGAACGAGGGGUCUUCCGCAGAAGAGAAGGGGACGUGAGAGCUGCUGUGAACACUUGAAGGGGUGUUGCAGACGGUGUGGUCUAAGCUAACUUGGACUAGACCUCGUACUUUUUUCUCUGCAUGGGCCUCCCUAGAACAAACCUCUGACUGGCAAGGCGCAAGUUACAGGAAGGCUGAUUUCAGCUCACUCUAAGAACUUCAGAAGAUUUUUCUCAACCGAGUUUAUAGGAAUAUAGAAAUGACGGUCCAGGGAAGCAGAGAGCAGGUGAUGACUGCCAAGAACAGAGGACAGCAGCUUGUUACAGGCUGGGUGCUUAUACUAGGUGAUGUCUGAGGUCUCUUUCAGUGUGGAGAUGCCAGGAUUCUAAAGCAUUUAGCCCUGGAGCAACAAGAAAGCCCUUUGCUUUGUCAAUUCAAAAACCGUCUGCUGGUCGACCUGUGGUUCAUCUCAUUCCCGGCUGACCGCCUCAACACCUUUCUCUAUUCAGUGGUUCUGGCCUCCCAACUGAAAUAACUAUAAACCCCUCUCCUCUGUCUCGCGCUCUCUUUUUAAGGGUCCUUUUCUUUUCCAAAUAAAGAGCUUAGGAGGGCAUAGGAACA